UUGUGCUUACCUAAAAAGAGGGGAAAAAACAGAGAAGAAGCAAGAAAAAGAAUAGCUUGUGAUAUUUUCAAACUUGCACCCCAAGAUUUCAUACAUGUCUUCUGCAAGCUUGCAGUCUGUUGGCCAACCUAUUAGAACAUCAGUGAAAAUCUUCCUUUUCUCAGAGAAACUGUGUGUUGGAAAUCAAGCGGGCUUAAAUACAAUCAAUAUUCUGAGAAAGAUUAGUGGAGAAGAGGAUAAACACAGGAAUAUUAUUUUUAAUAAUUAGGUAUUUUUAAUCUCCCCUAAAAGGAUAAAGCAGUUGGUGCUGUCUCUGAGGCUGGUUUAGGAAGGCCUCAACAACCAACAGGGUCAUUCCUGGGUCCAACUGGUGUUGGCAAGACAGAGCUUGCAAAGGUUCUUUGACGAUGAAAAUCUGCUGAUUAUGAUUGACAUGUCUGAGUACAUGGAGCAACACUCAGUUUCAUGCUUAAUUGGUGCUCGCCAGGGUAAGAGCUAUUUGGGAGUUUAAAAAUUAGUUUGUGUUAAGAAAUAUAACUUGGAACAAGAUUGAACAAAGACAUGAAAAGAGAAUGAAUUCUCAUAUAUAAUUCUGCAUCUUUGAGCUAUGUUUUAUAGUACAUUAAGGGGGACAAAAUCCCAUAAACUAUGGACUAAGAAAAGGAAAAUACAAUUCAAAUAUAAAAUCUAAUAAUGACAUACAGGUGUGCUUCUAUAUACAUGGGAACUAAUUAAGAGAAAUAAAUGGUAGAUAAUCAAGGGAGGAAUUUCAAGGAAUCAAAUCAUAUCUCAAUACUCCCCCUCAAGUUGGUGCAUGAAGAUCCGUAAUGCCCAACUUGCUAAGGAAGCUAAGGAAGUUGUCACGGCCCAAAGCUUUAGUGAAAAUAUCGGCAAGCUGAUGGCUAGCAGGGACGUGAGCUGUAGAGAUGAUCUUAGCACAGAGUUUUUCACGGACAAGGUGGCAAUCAAUGUCAAUAUGCUUCGUUCGUUCAUGAAAAACGGGGUUGGCAGCAAUGUGAAGGGCUGCUUUAUUGUCACAAAAGAGCUUCAUGGGUUGAGAAUGAGGAACCCCGAGAGACUGAAGAAGCAUCUUGAGCCAAAGGAGUUCACAAGUGGUUGCUGCCAUAGCGCGGUAUUCAGCUUCUGCGGAAGAGCGGGAGACAGUGGUUUGCUUCUUGGUUCUCCAUGAGAGAGGGCUAUUGCCAAGUGUAGUAAAAUAGCCGGUGGUGGAUCGACGAGUGAUGGGGCAACUCGCCCAAUCUGAGUCUGAGUAACCAUAAACUUGG